rnacentral:rRNA from 1 species
GACGAACGCUGGCGGCGUGCUUAACACAUGCAAGUCGAACGGGUCUGCCCUGUUUUUUGCGGGGUGGGUCAGUGGCGACCGGGUGAGUAACACGUGAGUAACCUGCCCCUCACUUCUGGAUAACCGCUUGAAAGGGUGGCUAAUACGGGGUGUUCUGGCUGUGCCGCAUGGUGUGGCUGGGAAAGAUUCACUUUUGUGGUGUUUUGGUGGGGGAUGGGCUCGCGGCCUAUCAGCUUGUUGGUGGGGUGAUGGCCUGCCAAGGCUUUGACGGGUAGCCGGCCUGAGAGGGUGGGCGGUCACACUGGGACUGAGAUACGGCCCAGACUCCGGCGGGAGGCAGCAGUGGGGGGUAUUGCACAAUGGGCGGAAGCCUGAUGCAGCGACGUCGCGGGAGGGAUGGAGGCCUUCGGGUUGUGAACCUCUUUCGCCGGUGAAGAAGGUCCUGCUCUUUGUGGUGGGGUUGACGGUAGCCGGGUUAUGAAGCGCCGGCUAACUACGUG